UCAAAUAGCAUCGCCGGAGGCAACGCUUCGCCGUGCCGUAGGUAGACGAGCGAUCCUAAUCACACAAACAAACCUAAAAAAGCAACCGUCCCCUCGCCCUGGUUCUGAAUCCUCUCCUAAUUUUCAUCAAUUUCCACUCCUUAAUCUAGAUCGAACAAAACUAGAUUACGAACCCUAGGAGCAUAAAUCCAAAUUAAAUGAAGAUUUCCAGGAAUCAGAGCCUGAUAGGAGAGUGUUUUGAUUCCUGAGGUGAGCCUCUACAUAUCUGUAAGUGAAAUGAUGCGUAAUGAGGAAGAAUCAAAUGCCUACCUCGUCGGAGAAGAUGUUGAAGAUGGAAGCGAUGAUGGUCUUGAUUAAGUGCAGGUUGCUUUACUGAUGGUGGUGAGCGAGAGGCUUCAACAUGAAACAAGCCAUUUCUAUGACUGGUUCAAGGCUCAAAACCUAUGUGCAGGCUCAGGUGAUGACCUGAGGACGAGAAUUGGCGUAGCAGGGUAUGCUGCAGGGUGUUUCAGGAUUGGGAUUAAUGCUUCAAUGACACAGGGCAUCAAAAGUUUGGUACAAGGUCAUGGCAUUUUGAGUGGAGUGGUUUUCUAUUUUCCUCUGUUUGGAGCAUGAUGCAUGACCUUGAAUUGGUUUGUUGUUGCAGAGCUAGACUUGAAUGGAGCAUGAAUUUAAGGACUGCCACAUGUUAUGGACAUUUGAACCAAUGCUUUAAACAAACUCACCAUGACAAAAAUGCAAAAACAAGCUUUACUUGGAAAGAGGGUUAACUUGUAAGGAAAAUGAUGAAGCAAGAAGAAUGAAGGAUGACAUCAUGAAGUUUAGGAAUCUUAGAACAAAUGUGUUGACUUUGGUCAAAGUUGACCAAAAAGUCAACUAUUGACCAAAGUCAACCUUUGGUCAAAGUUAUUAUUAUUUUUUUAUAUUAUUUUUUUAAUGAUGUAAAUAUGACUAUGUAU